UAAUGCACGGUGAGGGAACAUGUUGAAAUCUCCUGGUGCCAUUUGCUCCCAUCAGUGUCGCUGAUAGAGUCAUUAGAGAGCUGCUGCAGCUCAGCGCCGGGGUCUCUCCGCUGAGAAUGGCCCCGUUGGACGGGGGAACAAGCUCCGCGUGGCUCCCGGGCCUCCGAGCACUCCACUCCAGCGAACAGGUCGCAGCCGCAGAAACGGGCCGGUGUUAACAAUGGAUAAUGGGAGAGUGGAUUGCAGUUAUCCGCCGCGUGAUUUAAAGCUUUUUACAGAGCGUUUUCCUCUGCGACCGCGGCGACAGCGAGGCUCUGGGAGUUUCUCGGGGCGCCACGCGCGACCCCCAUGCUAAUGCAGGAGCCUCCUCUUUAUCUGUUGGGGGCCGACGUGAUCACCCGUGGAACGGCCGGAGAAGCAAAAGUGCUGAAAUCGUCGAAACGGUGUGCCUGGUUGAUGUCCUCCUCCUUUGGUGGGGAACAUAUGUCCACAGCAGCUGUGCCACCGUGAAUAGGCAGUGAUUGUGCGCGAGCUAACUGCAUUCCUGGGAGCCAGGCCAAGUCUGAGUGGAGUGAGCUGUCCCAUUUUUUGAUACAAGCUUCUCCUACAUUCCACUCCAUUUACAUGUCUCUCUUUUUCCCACAGAGGCCAAAAUAGCGGCCCGACUUUGAAGAUCGUUUGUCUCCGACGGAAGAUGCUGAAGAGGUGAUGUGUGACGAGCCGCGCUGCAGACGUGCGACUCCAGCAGAUGCGUCGCCGUGCGCAGCAUCCUCCCGGUGACACAGUUUUCUGCCGGCUCUCGCGCUGUGACUCCGUGACUCCUGCGCUAAUGAUGUAUGGCGGAAGCUUGAGCCAGGCCAGGUUGUCUAGUCAGGCGAAGCUAUUUCUGCGUUGGGCUGAGUGAAAGCGCAAGGCACAAUCGGCUCGAGAAACAUUUUUCAUGAAUAUUUUUAAGCUUUGGUCUUUUUUGGACACGCCGAAAGGCGGCUGAACAACAAGCACAUGACAACAUGCGUUAUCAGCAGCUGAUUUUAGCAGCUGGAUGGAGAAAAAGUUAAAGAAUUUGCAACUCUCGUGAAAAAGGUCUUGAGAUAGAUAGUGCCGUGCGCCUCAGCCUAGUUGAGUUACAAACUGAAACACCUGUAAUUGUUAUCAGAGAGGAAACAAUCUGAGUAAACACUCGGGGGCGACUGAGAAAUGGAAAUGUCACUCCUGCGUGGGCCGAUGUCUGAUCACAAACAAACAAUAGGCAUCCCAAGCAUUCCUCCGUCCUAUCACCGACCUCCAUCCCGCGAGGAACAAGGUCAAUAGAAGCGCUGCAAAUGGGAUGGUGAUCCCAAAAUAACAGCCCCCAGCCCCAGCAGCCCCCCCCCCCCCCACACACACACACACACACGUCCACCUCCACCUCCUUCUCUCUUAAACAACACAAUCACACAAUCAAAGCGCGACUGCCUUUCUCUCAUUGUUUAAUUUCUGCUGGCUAUCUUAGAUAUCUCUGCAGCUGUUCUUAUCUUUGACCUUCAGCUUGUUGCUUUGUCGUUCCACCCCCCCCCAUCCUCCACCCACCUACCUGCCCCCACCCACCCACCCCCCACGCCAGCGUGCUGCGACCUUCAGAGGGGUGUCAUUACUCCCUGACCCAUUUGACGAUCCCCUCAUGUGGAAUGUGCAUAUGCCGAAUCGCUGCGGAUCUGCACAGUAUGGGGUGAGGUGAAGUACUUACAGAAAUAUGACUUGACACGCUUUAUCAAAUGGGGAAAGAUGAAGACGAAACAGCUGCUGGUGCUGUCGUAAGCAAUCUGGCCGUGAUUGAAUAAAAGUGUCAAGAAAAGGGCCGCUUGAUGGUCU
rnacentral:lncRNA from 1 species